CAAUAGCGUAUAUUAAAGUUGUUGCAGUUAAAAAGCUCGUAGUUGGAUUUCUGGUGGGGGCCGCUGGUCCGCUGCGAAAGCGGCGUGUACCGAUGCGUGCCUACCGCCAUCCUCGGGUGGAGUGCGUGUGGGAUUAAUUUCUCGUGCGUAGGAUGCCCGUCGUUUACUGUGAAAAAAUUAGAGUGUUCAAAGCAGGCUUUGGCCGUUGCAUACAUUAGCAUGGAAUAAUAAGAUAGGACUUGGCUCUAUUUUGUUGGUUUGUACGCCAAGUAAUGAUUAAUAGGGAUAGUUGGGGGUAUUCGUAUUCAAUUGUCAGAGGGGAAAUUCUUAGAUUUAUGGAAGACGAACUACUGCGAAAGCAUUUACCAAGGAUGUUUUCAUUAA
rnacentral:rRNA from 1 species